UUUUUUUUUAAUAUAUACUUAGGUCUGUCCAAGCUUUACUCUCUGGAAACAUUGAAUGUCAGCAAAAAUAAAUUAGCUGAGGUAGAAAAUGUGCAAUGUAUAGGCAAGCUUCCCUGCCUUGAGAAUCUCAUCCUCCGUGAUAACCCUAUCAGGACUGUGGUAGACUACAGAGUGGCUGUACUGGAGCUGUUUGGAGACAGAGCUAAAGAGGUUCUACUUGACAAAGAGGCAACAACACAACAAGAACUUGAUAAGAUAGCAGUAAGACUGGCCUUACAAAAAGCAAAAGAUGACAGGGCAAAGAGGCAGAGCACCUCUAGUACAGCAGACACAACUGCUUCUAUACCAAAUUAACUGUAGUUUCUCCAACAUAACAAUAGGUGGCGUGACUGCCUACUGCCAAGGUAGCAGAUGGCCAAGACAAGAGUAUCAAAUGUUCAGUACAGAAGCAAAUGGCAGAUAUCACAUCUGUGGAGAUUGGAGAAGGGAGGAAAAUGGCAUCUUUUUGCAAGAGUUAAAAGGAUGCCAGAAUCAGCUACCUCUCAAUUACCUGCAU